GACUCCAUGUAGUGUCGGUGAAACAUUGCCUUAAAUUUCUUUAGUUUGUCUACACUGUUGCAGGUUUUGUAUCAUUGCCAUUUUGUCACUGUGGUCAGCACAAUCUUGUUAUUGUCAUCAUGAUUACUUUUUUUUCUUCACCUCUGCUGCUAACCUACUAUGUUGCCAUGCCGAUCCCUUGACUCCAUGUAGUGUCGGUGAAACAUUGCCUUAAAUUUCUUUAGUUUGUCUACACUGUUGCAGGUUUUGUAUCAUUGCCAUUUUGUCACUGUGGUCAGCACAAUCUUGUUAUUGUCAUCAUGAUUACUUUUUUUUCUUCACCUCUGCUGCUAUUUAAUUCAUGGCACCGCAUCUUAUCUCAUUCUGUUGUUCCUUGCUAAUACUGUAGCCAUUUGCACACCAUCACAUACCAUCACAUUGCUUCCAUCGUUAUGAUUUACUUCUUGUUAAGAAGUAUUUUUGAGUUGUUUCCUUUUUAUGGAAAUUUAGUGAAUUAAUUGAAUGUAAGGAAUUAAAAGGGUCAUUAUGACA
rnacentral:lncRNA from 1 species